UGAUGGCCCUUUUGAAGGACA
rnacentral:miRNA from 1 species